GUUUCUGCAGCCUCUCAACUCAAACUGAGCAAAAGAGAGUGCUUUAUUAAUGGUCAGGAGGUAACUAUUAAAAAGCUGCUGGUCAUUAUCUGGAGUAUUUCCAGUGAUUCGCGUAAACACCGAAUGGAAGUGAUCCUCUCUGAGUGGGCCGCGAGCGAGUAGCGCUUGAAUGAGAGUGUGAUGUCUCCAACUCAGCUCUGGC
rnacentral:misc_RNA from 1 species